GACGAACGCUGGCGGCGUGGAUUAGGCAUGCAAGUCGAACGGUAUCAUCCUUUCGGGGGUGAGAGAGUGGCGAACUGGUGAGUAACACGUAGGUUAUCUACCCUCAAGACGGGGACAACCCAGGGAAACUUGGGCUAAUACCGGAUGUGAGCAACUUUUAGUUGUUUGAAAGGUGGCGUAAGCUGUCGCUUGGGGAUGAGCCUGCGUCCUAUUAGUUAGUUGGUGAGGUAACGGCUCACCUAGGCAAUGAUAGGUAGGCGGCCUUAACGGGUGGUCGCCCACACUGGGAUUGAGAUACGGCCCAGACUCCUACGGGAGGCAGCAGUCGAGAAUAGUCUACAAUGGUCGGAAGACUGAUAGUGCGACGCCGCGUGAACGAUGAAUCCCUUCGGGGUGUAAAGUUCUUUUAUAUGUGAGCAGUGCUUCUUAUAUUAACAGUAUGGGGAGAGAGAUAUUAGCAUAUGAAUAAGCAACGCUAACUCCGUGCCAGCAGCCGACGGU
rnacentral:rRNA from 1 species